GGGGGAUUUGCAAAGAGAAAACGCGUGAUUUUUGGGAUACAUGGGGGAUUCUCGAAGAGAAAACGCGUGAUUUUUGCUUAAAUGGGGGAUUUGCAAAGAGAAAACGCGUGAUUUUCGCUAAAAUGGGGGAUUCUCGAAGAGAAAACACGUGAUUUUCGUGUUAAAUGGGGGAUUUGAAAAAGAAAACGCGUGAUUUUCACUUAAAUGUGGGAUUUCCGAACAGAAAACGUGAUUUUCGCUUAAAUGGGGGAUUUGUGAAGAGAAAACGCGCGACAUUCAAAUUAAAUGGGGGAUUCUCGAAGAGAAAAUGCGUGAUUUUCGCUUAAAUGGGGGAUUCUCGAGGAGAAAACGCGCGAUUUUUGCUUAAAUGUGGGAUUGUCGAAGAGAAAAUGCGUGAUUUUCGCUGAAAUGGGGGAUUUGCAAAGAGAAAACGCGUGAUUUUCGGGUUAAAUGGGGGAUUCUCGAAAAGAAAACACGUGAUUUUUGCUUAAAUGGGGGAUUUGCGAGGAGAAAACGCGUGAUUUUUGAGUUAAAUGGGGGAUUCUCGAGGAGAAAACGCGUGAUUUUCGCUUAAAUGGGUGAUUCUCGAAGAGAAAAUGCGCGAUUUUUGGCUUAAAUGGGGAUUCUCGAAGAGAAAACGCGUGAUUUUUGGGUUAAAUGGGGGAUUUUCGAAGAGAAAAUGCGUGAUUUUUGGUUUAAAUGGGGGAUUCUCGAAGAGAAAACGCGUGAUUUUUGCUUAAAUGGGGGAUUCUCGAUGAGGAAACGCAUGAUUUUUGCCUAAAUGGGGGAUUCUCGAGGAGAAAACGCGUGAUUUUCGCUUAAAUGGGGGAUUUGCGAAGAGAAAAUGCAUGAUUUUCACUUAAAUGGGGAUUCUCGAAAAGAAAACGCCUGAUUUUCGCUUAAAUGGUGGAUUUGCGAAGAGUAAUCGCGUGAUUUUAAGUUAAAUGGGGGAUUCUCAAAGAGAAAAUGCGUGAUUUUCGCUUAAAUGGGGGAUUCUCGAAGAGAAAACGCAUGAUUUUCGGGUUAAAUGGGGGAUUCUCAAAGAGAAAACACGUGAUUUUCGCUUAAAUGGGGGAUUUGCAAAGAGAAAACGCAUGAUUUUCACUUAAAUGGGGGAUUCUCGAAGAGAAAACGCGUGAUUUUCGCUUAAAUGGGGAAUUCUCGAAAGAGAAAACCCAUGAUUUUCGCUUAAAUGGGGGAUUCUCGCAGAGAAAACGCGUGAUUUUCGCUUAAAUGGGGAAUUCUCGAAAAGGAAACCCGUGAUUUUCGCUUAAAUGGGGGAUUUGCGAAGAGAAAACGCGAGAUUUUUGCUUAAAUGGGGGAUUCUCGAAGAGAAAAUGCGUGAUUUUUGCUUAAUUGGGGAAUUGCAAAGAGAAAAUGCGUGAUUUUCGCUUAAAUGGGGAAUUCUCGAAGAGAAAACGCGUGAUUUUCAGUUAAAUGGGGGAUUCUUGAAGAGAAAACGCGUGAUUUUCGCAGAAAAGGUGUAUUCUCGAAGAGAAAAUGCGUGAUUUUUGCUAAAAUGGGGAAUUCUCGAAGAGAAAACGCGUGAUUUUUGCUUAAAUGGGGGAUUUGCGAAGAGAAAACGCGAGAUUUUUGCUUAAAUGGGGGGUUCUCAAAGAGAAAAUGCGUGAUUUUCGCUUAAUUGGGGAAUUGCAAAGAGAAAAUGCGUGAUUUUCGCUUAAAUGGGGAAUUCUCGAAGAGAAAACGCGUGAUUUUCAGGUUAAAUGGGGGAUUCUCGAGGAGAAAACACGUGAUUUUCGCUUCAAUGGGGGAUUCUCGAAGAGAAAACGCGUGAUUUUCGCUUAAAUGGGGGAUUCUCAAAGAGAAAACGCGUGAUUUUUGGGUUAAAUGGGGGAUUUGCGAAGAGAAAACGCGUGAUUUUCGCUAAAAUGGGGGAUUCUCGAAGAGAAAACGCAUGACUUUCGGGUUAAAUGGUGGAUUCUCAAAGAGAAAACGCGUGAUUUUCGGGUUAAAUGGGGGAUUUGCGAAGAGAAAACGCGUGAUUUUCGAGUAAAUGGGGGAUUUGCAAAGAGAAAACGCGUGAUUUUCGCUUAAAUGAGGGAUUCUCGAAGAGAAAACGUGAUUUUCGCUUAAAUGGGGGAUUUGCGAAGAGAAAACGCGUGAUUUUCGGGUUAAAUCGGGGAUUCUCGCGGAGAAAACGCGUGAUUUUCGCUUAAAUGGGGGAUUCUCGAAGAGAAAACGCGUGAUUUUCGGGUUAAAUCGGGGAUUCUCGAAGAGAAAACGCGUGAUUUUCGCUUAAAUGGGGGAUUCUCGAAGAGAAAACGCGUGAUUUUCGGGUUAAAUGGAGGAUUCUCGAAGAGAAAACACGUGAUUUUCAGGUUAAAUGAGGGAUUCUUGAAGAGAAAAAGCGUGAUUUUCGCUUAAAUGGGGGAUUCUCGAAGAGAAAACGCGUGAUUUUCGCUUAAAUGGGGGAUUUGCCAAGAGAAAACGCGUGAUUUUUGCUUAAAUGGAAAUUCUCGAAAAGAAAACGCGUGAUUUUCGCUAAAAUGGGGGAUUCUCGAAGAGAAAACGCGUGAUUUUCAGGUUAAAUGGGGGAUUUGUGAAGACAAAACGCGUCAUUUUUGCUUAAAUGGGGGAUUUGCGAAGACAAAAACGCGUGAUUUUGGCUUAAAUGGGGUAUUCUCGAAGAGAAAACGCGUGAUUUUCAGGUAAAGUAGAGGAUUCUCAAGGAGAAAACACGUGGUUUUCGCUUAAAUGGGAAAUUUGCGAAGAGAAAACGCGUGAUUUUUUGUUAAAUGGGGGAUUCUCGAAGUGAUAAUUCGUGAUUUUUGGCUUCAAUGGUGGAUUCUCGAAGAGAAAACACAUGAUUUUCGGGUUAAAUGGGGGAUUCUCAAAGAGAAAACGCGUGAUUUUCACUUAAAUGGGGGAUUUGCAAAGAGAAAACGCGUGAUUUCUGCUUAAAUGGGGGAUUUGCGAAGAGAAAAUGCGUGAUUUUUCCUUAAAUGGGGUAUUUGCAAAGUGAAAAAGCCUUAUUUUUGCUGAAAUGCAGUAUUCUUGAAGAGGAAAUGCGUGAUUUUUGCUUAAAUGAGGGAUUCUCGAAGUGAAAACGUGAUUUUCGGGUUAAAUGGGGGAUUCUCGAAAAGAAAACGCGUGAUUUUCGCUUAAAUGGGGGAUUUCCGAAGAGAAAAAGCCUUAUUUUUGCUGAAAUGCGGUAUUCUAGAAGAGAAAACGCGUGAUUUUUGCUUAAAUGGGGGAUUUGCGAAGAGAAAACGCGUGAUUUUUGCUUAAAUGGGGGAUUCUCAAAGAGAAAACGCGUGAUUUUCGCUUAAUGGGGGAUUUGCGAAGAGAAAACGCGUGAUUUUCGGGUCAAAUGGGGAUUUUGUGAAUAGAAAACACGUGAUUUUUCCUUAAAUGGUGCAUUUGCAAAGUGAAAAAGCCUUAUUUUUGCUGAAAUGCGGUAUUCUAAAAGAGAAAACGCGUGAUUUUCGCUUAAAUGGGGGAUUUGCGAAGAGAAAACGCGUGAUUUUCGCUUAAAUGGGGGAUUUGCGAAGAGAAAACACGUGAUUUUCGGGUUAAACAGGGGAUUCUUGAAGAGAAAACACGUGAUUUUAGUGUUAAAUGGGGGAUUUGCGAAGAGAAAAUGCGUGAUUUUCAGGUUAAAUGGGGCAUUCUCUAAUGGAAAACGCGUGAUUUUUGCUUAAAUGGGGGAUUUGCGAAGAGAAAACGCGUGAUUUUCGCUUAAAUGGUGGAUUCUCGAAGAGAAAACGCGUGAUUUUCGCUUACAUGUGGAAUUUCUGAAGAGAAAACGCGUGGUUUUC
ensembl:lncRNA